UUGCAUUUGUAGUCGCGAGGAUGAGAACCUCCGGGGGUAAGAGGUUCGACUCGAGCAGCGCGAGAGAACGUUGCAACAGCAACGGCCCGCAGGGCGAGCCACGAAGUGGCGAGUAGUCCUCUAUCACCGACUA
rnacentral:sRNA from 2 species